AACGAACGCUGGCGGCAGGCCUAACACAUGCAAGUCGAGCGCCCCGCAAGGGGAGCGGCGGACGGGUGAGUAACGCGUGGGAACGUACCCUUUGCUACGGAAUAGCCCCGGGAAACUGGGAGUAAUACCGUAUGUGUCCUUCGGGAGAAAGAUUUAUCGGCAAGGGAUCGGCCCGCGUUGGAUUAGGUAGUUGGUGGGGUAAUGGCCUACCAAGCCGACGAUCCAUAGCUGGUUUGAGAGGAUGAUCAGCCACACUGGGACUGAGACACGGCCCAGACUCCUACGGGAGGCAGCAGUGGGGAAUCUUAGACAAUGGGCGCAAGCCUGAUCUAGCCAUGCCGCGUGAGCGAUGAAGGCCUUAGGGUUGUAAAGCUCUUUCAGGGGGGAAGAUAAUGACUGUACCCCCAGAAGAAGCCCCGGCUAACUCCGUG
rnacentral:rRNA from 1 species